CUGAGUGACGUCACGCAGACAGGUAGACCCUGUCAGCUCAGUGACUCUGUCACGUGGUGUUCUUCCUGCUCGUGUUGAGCGUGUAGAAGACGUGGAGAAGAAGUGUGAGGACGUGCAACAUGAUGGACUCUGUGGAAGAUAACCCACUCCUGAUGAGGAAAGGGCCCAUUCUAAGAUGCAGAAGUUAAGAGAGACACUUAAGAUCCACCAUCACAUCCACACUCACCUGUCCGUUCUUCUUCAGGUCAGCCCACAUGCUCGUCCCAUCGCCACCUCUCAUCAGGACAUGUUCUGUGAUGGAAGCUCCAGUGAAAAGCUUUCAGUUGCUCAGGCAGAGAGCUGUCAGGUGGGGUCUACAGUUUUCCCACUGGAGUUCAUCUCACCCAACACAUACGAGGAAGGGUGCUUUACUUGUCUGUCCAGGAAUGAGACAAGUAGAAUAGGGAAACUGCUAAAUCCCUGUUUUGUCUUUCUUCCUCCCUGAUUCUGUUGAUGGGCUCACAGCUCUCUGUACAUCCGGCGUUUAGGGAAGAGCCAGGAUUCUAUUUCAGCUCAGCCGUCUACUCCUCCAUUCAAAGUAAAGAUUUGUUACAGGUCAUAAAAAAGGGCAAAUUCUGAAGAAAGGGUCGGGCCAAAUUGCACUGAAUUUAGGAAAAUCUUGUUUUAAAGGCAGCUGGGAUGAGGCAGAACACAUUUUAUUGGAGCAUCGCCGUAAAUCAUCCAG